GACGAACGCUGGCGGCGUGCUUAACACAUGCAAGUCGAACGAAGUGGCGAACGGGUGAGUAACGCGUAAUCAACCUGCCCUUCAGGGGGGGAUAACAGUUGGAAACGACUGCUACUACCGCAUACUGAAGGAGGGGAUUGCGUCGGAUUAGCUAGUUGGAGGGGUAACGGCCCACCAAGGCGAAGAUCAGUAGGCGGGCUGGGGGGGUGGACGGGCCCAAGGGGACCGGGGAACCGGCCAGGAUCCUACGGGGGGGCAGCGUGGGGGAUCAUCCGCAAUGGGGGGAAGGCUGGCGGCGGAACGGCGCGGUGGGGGUGGCAGCCUUCGGGGUGUAAAGCCCUGUUAAGCGGGGAGCGGUACCGGAAUAGGAAGCCACGGCUAACUACGUGCCAGCAGCCGCGGUAAUUC
rnacentral:rRNA from 1 species